CCUACGGGAGGCAGCAGUAGGGAAUCUUGCGCAAUGGGCGAAAGCCUGACGCAGCCAUGCCGCGUGAAUGAUGAAGGUCUUAGGAUUGUAAAAUUCUUUCACCGGGGAAGAUAAUGACGGUACCCGGAGAAGAAGCUCCGGCUAACUUCGUGCCAGCAGCCGCGGUAAU
rnacentral:rRNA from 1 species